rnacentral:rRNA from 1 species
AAGCCAGACUCCUACGGGAGGCAGCAGUGGGGAAUAUUGGACAAUGGGGGGAACCCUGAUCCAGCGACGCCGCGUGAGUGAAGAAGUAUUUCGGUAUGUAAAGCUCUAUCAGCAGGGAAGAAAGAAAUGACGGUACCUGACUAAGAAGCCCCGGCUAACUACGUGCCAGCAGCCGCGGUAAUACGUAGGGGGCAAGCGUUAUCCGGAUUUACUGGGUGUAAAGGGAGCGUAGACGGCGAUGCAAGUCUGAAGUGAAAGGCGGGGGCCCAACCCCCGGACUGCUUUGGAAACUGUAUGGCUGGAGUGCAGGAGAGGUAAGUGGAAUUCCUAGUGUAGCGGUGAAAUGCGUAGAUAUUAGGAGGAACACCAGUGGCGAAGGCGGCCUACUGGACGGUGACUGACGCUGAGGCUCGAAAGCGUGGGGAGCAAACAGGAUUAGAUACCCCUGUAAUG